rnacentral:rRNA from 1 species
UACGAAGGGGGCUAGCGUUGCUCGGAAUCACUGGGCGUAAAGCGCACGUAGGCGGAUUGUUAAGUCAGGGGUGAAAUCCUGGAGCUCAACUCCAGAACUGCCUUUGAUACUGGCGAUCGUUGAGUCCGGGAGAGGUGAGUGGAACUGCGAGUGUAGAGGUGAAAUUCGUAGAUAUUCGCAAGAACACCAGUGGCGAAGGCGGCUCACUGGCCCGGUACUGACGCUGAGGUGCGAAAGCGUGGGGAGCAACAGG